rnacentral:lncRNA from 1 species
AGCAGCUAGCAGCACUGACUAGUAGGAGGGCCCGCCGGAGGAGAGGACAUGCUCUGGAGUCAGAAGACAGCGAAAAGAGAAGCAGAAGCCCCGGUGGCAAGAGUCUGAAGCAGGAAGGAUGACUGUAGCCUGUGGAUUGUACUGCAGUAGGAAACUGUCCUAGCAAGGCUCCACUUUGCCCCAGCUUCAAGCUGGAAAGGAGGAGAACAUGAAACAUUGCUUGAAGACAAUGGCCGAGACAGCAGGUCCCACCCUGCACAGCCACCAGCAUCUCUCCCCUCAGCCCUGUCUCCUCUUCUGCAGUUGGGAUCUGCACAUUUAAGCCUGAAAUCCAUUUCUAGACACUUCCUGUUGAACAAGACAGAGGAGAAUUCCUGGGUUGAGUCCCCCUGAAAAAUCAACAGGGCAACAGGUUUCUUCUCUGUGGUACUACUCUGGCAUCUGAAAGGAGGCCUGGUUGGCAGAGGCUUGGAGAGGGAGGGGAGGGUUGAGGUCAUGAGGUCAGAGGAGGAGGUGAGGAAAGGACUCAUGUUGAAUUUUAUUCAACAUGGAACUGGAGACCUUUUCUGGUCGGUGGCAGGGACAGUGUGGAUGGCAGUGGGGUCGGGGGUAGUGUCAGGCCUGUUUCUCCCAAGUUGAAGGGAGGAGGAAGUCAGGAGGCUCAAGCCCUGUCUUAAUUCAGAGCACUUUGAAAAGUAUCUAUUUUUUUCUUAUUUCCAUAAUAAUACACUUAUUGAAAAAAAUUAAAAAUUUCACAAAAGCAUAAAAAGAGAAUAUCCCCUGCAGUGCACCCCUAAGAUGGAAUGACUACACAUUUCCUGUGUGACAAGAAGCUGAGCACGGGCAACCAGGAGCUGGGUUUGGGGCAGGGGGAAGGGGGUAGGGGAUGGGACACAUGUACUUUUUCAUUUAUAUUCUUGUCUACUGUUUGAAUCUUUAUCAGGAGAGUGUAAAAUAAAACCAAGUUAAAACAGCA